UACAGGGGGUGCAAACGUUGCUCGGAAUCAUUGGGCGUAAAGCGUGCGCAGGCGGUUCGUUGUGUCGGCGGUGAAAGCCCCGGGCUUAACCUGGGAAUGGCCGUUGAAACUGGCGAACUGGAGUGUGGCAGAGGGGGGUGGAAUUCCGCGUGUAGCACUGAAAUGCGUAGAGAUGCGGAGGAACACCGAUGGCGAAGGCAGCCCCCUGGGCUAACACUGACGCUCAGGCACGAAAGCGUGGGGAGCAAACAGG
rnacentral:rRNA from 1 species